CCUACGGGAGGCUGCAGUGGGGAAUAUUGCACAAUGGGGGAAACCCUGAUGCAGCGACGCCGCGUGAGUGAAGAAGUAUUUCGGUAUGUAAAGCUCUGUCAGCAGGGAAGAAAAUGACGGUACCUGACCAAGAAGCCCCGGCUAACUACGUGCCAGCAGCCGCGGGAAUACGUAGGGGGCAAGCGUUAUCCGGAUUUACUGGGUGGAAAGGGAGCGGAGACGGCAGUGCAAGUCUGGAGUGAAAGGCGGGGGCUCAACCCCCGGACCGCUCUGGAAACUGUACGGCUGGAGUGCAGGAGAGGUAAGUGGAAUUCCUAGUGUAGCGGUGAAAUGCGUAGAUAUUAGGAGGAACACCAGUGGCGAAGGCGGCUUACUGGAUUGUAACUGACGCUGAGGCUCGAAAGCGUGGGGAGCAAACAGGAUUAGAUACCCCGGUAGUC
rnacentral:rRNA from 1 species